UAUAAAGUUUCCACCGGUACCCACGCCCACCCCCACCCUCCACCGGGACUCGGUUUCUCCCCAGGCCCGGAGGAUACGGCUCAUGGGGCCGCGAACCCUCCUCCUGCUGCUCUCGGGGGUCCUGGUCCUCACCGAGGCCUGGGCCGGCUCCCACUCCUUGAGCUAUUUCAGCACCGCCGUGUCUCGGCCCGGCCUCGGGGAGCCCCGUUUCUUUGCCGUCGGCUACGUGGACGACACGCAGUUCGCGCGGUUCGACAGCGACGCCCCGAAUCCGAGGAUGGAGCCGCGGGCGCCUUGGAUGGAGCAGGAGGGGCCAGAAUACUGGGAUGAGAUUACUCGAGAUGCCAAGAAAGCUCAACAGAGAUUGACGUCAGGCUUGAACACCAUGCGCGGUUUGUACAACCAGAGCGAGGCCGGGUCCCACACCCUCCAGUGGGUGUUUGGCUGCGACGUGGGGCCGGACGGGCGCCUCCUCCGCGGGAUCUGGCAGAACGCCUAUGACGGUGCGGAUUACCUCGCCCUGAACGAAGACCUGCGCUCCUGGACCGCGGCGGACACGGUGGCUCAGAUCACCAAGCGCAAGUGGGAAAUCUCUGGUGAGGCUGAGUUCCAACGGAACCACCUGGAGGUCAAGUGCGUGCAGUGGCUCCGCAGACACCUGGAGAACGGGAAGGACACGCUGCUGCGCGCAGACCCUCCAAAGGCACGUGUGACUCAUCACCCCAUCUCUGACCGUGAGGUCACCCUGAGGUGCUGGGCCCUGGGCUUCUACCCUGAGGAGAUCUCACUGACCUGGCAGCGAGACGGGGAGGACCAGACUCAGGACAUGGAGCUUGUGGAGACCAGGCCUUCAGGGGAUGGAACCUUCCAGAAGUGGGCAGCCCUAGUGGUGCCUUCUGGAGAGGAGCUGAGAUACACGUGUCAUGUGCAGCACGAGGGGCUUCAGGACCCCCUCACACUGAGAUGGGAACCUCCUCAGCCCUCUGUCCUCAUCAUGGGCAUCAUUGUUGGCCUGGUUCUCCUAAUGUUUGCUGUGGUGACUGGAGCUGUGAUUUGGAGGAAGAAGCGCUCAGGUAGAGAAAGGAGGGAGGGAUCUGAGUUUUCUUAUCUCACUGGCUGGGUUUCUGGCCCAGGUGGAAGUUUGGCUGCCUCGUUACAGGAAAGUACCCUCCACACACAUGUGGAAGAUGAACUGAUGCUAAGACUGACCCUUUUGUAAAGUACAUGUGAAAAUGAAAGACAAAUUUUUCAUCUUCAUAAUUCCAUUUGGGAGCCUGUUUCUCAGCAUUUGAAGGUCAGAAGGGAAUGUGCCUGCUGAGGACUGACCUCCAGUAGGGCAGGUGGUCCAGUCCCCUCACGUCUCCUUCCUUCAUGUUCCUGAGCCUAUCCUGGAUUUUUGGUCAGAGUCCUGAAAAGUACUUUGUCGUCCAGACUAGGGAGUUCCUCUAGAGUCUCAUGACUCAUCCAUGGUCUCUCCCGUGAUACUUUCUUCUCACAGGUGAAAACGGAGGGGGCUACACCCAGACUGCAAGUAGUGACGGUGCCCAGGGUUCUGAUGUGUCUCUCACAGUGCCUAAAGUGUGAGACAGCUGCCUGUGGGGACUGAGUGAUGCUCGGUCCCACUUUGUGACGUCAGAUCCCCGGACCCCUCUUUCUGAAGCUGCAUCUGAAUGUGUCUGUGCUCCUAUUAGCAUAAGAAGAAGAGGUGGGGAGACUGCCAACCUCUUCCAACCAAACUCCGGGAUUUAAAAUGCGGUGCCUAAUAGUCACAGCCUCGGAUCUUUUCUGAAGAGAAAAUAUCAUUAUGUGUAGAGUGCAGACUGGUGGAUGUGAGAGGGAGGGGUGAUCAGAUCUUGUGGGGAAGGUACAGGCAGCACUGAUGUCAGUGUGAAUGAUUAAUGUACUAUACCUUCCGUGAGAGAGCAAGUGGCCCGAGUUCACAUUAAUAAGUAUAGAAUACAGAGCCAUCUGCACUCAUCAUUCCUUCAUCUGAUAUUUGUUGUGUGCCAAAUAGAUGAUGCUCUAUAUUUGCAUCUGGGAAACCUCAGUGAACUAACAACAGACACACUUUGUUGGCCUCGUGCCCUAUGUUCUGGUGAGAGGGGGCAGAGUGAGCCUAAUAAGUGAGGAAAGUGUCUGCCUAAGGAUUGGCAAGUUCUUUGAUGAAGGUGACCUAGAGUAUGUGUGUGGGUACAGGGAAGGUGGCUGUUUUACUAGGGUGUCAGUGUAGGCCUCGUUGAGGAGAUGAUAUCGGAGUAAAGAUGUGAAGGACGUGAGAGAAUGUCCACUAGGAUGUCUGGGGGAAGUUCUCUCCAGGCAGAGGAGCCUCCAGUGCAAAUGCAGGAGGGCAGGAGAGUGUAUGUGAUCAAGGAAGAGCCGGGAGGCAGGUGUGGCUGGAGGAACGAGGAAUUGAGAUGAGAUCCAGUGUCUGCCCAGGUCAUGUGGGCCUCCAGCAUAUUGGAAGCUGUCUGAUGUCUGUGAAAGAUGUGGACUCAUAAGAUGGUUUGAAUAGAAGAUGACCUGGUGUGACUGCUCGCUAGGAGCGUCAGUCUUAACUGCUGUGCAGAAUCAGGAGGUGAAGGGAGAGCGAUCCAGUAGAGGAGCCUGUAGGAUUAGUGCAGGGUCCAGGUGGGGAUGCUGGUGCUCCCCUGGACCCUCAUUAAAUCUAGACAGUCGGGAGUAGAGCCUGAGAAUCUGCAUUUGUAAUAAGGUUGGUGCUGAUGCUGCUGGUCUCCAGAUCACACUUUUAGUAGCAACAAAGUACAUAGACCAGGAUUCCCACAUGCUGUGUAUCAGCCUCGCACACAGAGGUUGCUAAAUAAGCAAUCCCUUGGUCUUGUCCUAAUACUCUGAGAAGGUGGUUCUGGGGAGAGGCUGAGCAUUUCGGAAAAGCCCCACAAGCAAUUCUGACGAUCAGCCAAUUUGGGAAUCCUGAGGUAUACGAGAGUGAGUGGCCAGAGAGGGGCCUUAAAUCCACAUUUAAAAGUGCUUUUUUUCUUCAGAAAGAAAAGGGAAUUUAUAUUGACAAUUCAUAUUGUCAAUUAUGAGGUGUGAUGUUGAGAAAUAAUGUUGUUCUUAUUCCACCUGAAGACGUAGGCAGUGGUUCAGAGUUCAGCGUAAUGAAAUCCUUGCUCUCUGAAACUAUUCUCCAAGUUGAGUUCUCCUCACUCAUUCUUGGAGCUAACAAUGGGAUCCAAAUUAAGUUAGACAUACAGUACUAUAUAUAUGUAUGGCUCCAUGGGAACAGGACCCACAGUGUCCACUCCAGGCCAGAUCCCACAAAGGAACUUUCGCCCCCGCUGGGGCACAGUGUCACUGUUCACACAGUGAGCCCCUCGUGCUGGACGUGGACCCCACGCUGAGGACGGCUAUCACUGAGGCUCCUAACAACUGGAGGUGGUGUGACUCCCACUCUCGACAACCCUGUCAGAUGCAUCCUGCAUGGUUCCAGCUUCUCUGUGUCUCAACGGCCUGAGUAGAGUCUGACAUGUGGUCACCUGACUGCAGGGACCUCAGCUUCAUGCUAUGUGCUCUGGCAAGAAUAUUUGGGAAAGUGGGUUUUCUUCUUUAAUGGAAUAAGGUGGUCUCUGCCUCCUACCAAGAUUCAGUUUGGAAUUUUCCUAAUCUGGAAAUGCUCCUAAUCAGGUGAGGGGGAGAGAGGGAUGGACAAGAAUGUCAAAUUUCAAUUGUUAGAGCAAAGAUCUGGAAGUGGAACUUGAUCUGGUACAAUGUAGGCACUCGGGUUUGACUGAAAGAACAAGUGACUAAUAAGUGACAUCCAGGGUAGAGAUCUGCUUGCUUACGUGUUUGUUUUGUUUUGUUUUCAUUGGAGUGUAAUUGACUUACAAUGCUGUGUCACUUUCUGCUGGACAGUACAGUGAAUCAGCUAUAAAUAUAUUCAGGCUUUUUUAGAUUCUUUCCCCAUAUACGCCAUUAGAGAGUGCUGGGUAAAGCUCCCUGUACUAUGCAGUAUCCACAGCACUUUAAAGUGCUGCCCAGGUGGUGGUGGAGGGAGAUCCUAGGAGGAUGGCUCUGUUCCAGAUGCAGAAGUAUCCAGACCAGGUGGAAGCAUGUCAGAAGGGUCCAGGACAACAUUUCCAAAAAAGGAAAAACUGAUGGAAUAUCCAAAGUAUCCAUACUUCGUGAAAGAGUCAUGCAAACAGAGCAGUCAUUAGAGCUGAAUUCAUGAGAGCUUCAUAGAACAUAAUCAACAAAAACAAAUCCUCAUCAAGAGGCUCUUUAGUUCUUCAUUUCUGCCAUUAAAGUGGGAUCAUCUCCUUUUC